rnacentral:rRNA from 1 species
GACGAACGCUGGCGGCGUGCUUAACACAUGCCAGUCGAACGGAAAGGCCCUGCUUUUGUGGGGUGCUCGAGUGGCGAACGGGUGAGUAACACGUGAGUAACCUGCCCUUGACUUUGGGAUAACUUCAGGAAACUGGGGCUAAUACCGGAUAGGAGCUCCUGCUGCAUGGUGGGGGUUGGAAAGUUUCGGCGGUUGGGGAUGGACUCGCGGCUUAUCAGCUUGUUGGUGGGGUAGUGGCUUACCAAGGCUUUGACGGGUAGCCGGCCUGAGAGGGUGACCGGCCACAUUGGGACUGAGAUACGGCACAGACUCGUACGGGAGGCAGCAGUGGGGAAUAUUGCACAAUGGGCGGAAGCCUGAUGCAGCAACGCCGCGUGCGGGAUGACGGCCUUCGGGUUGUAAACCGCUUUCGCCUGUGACGAAGCGUGAGUGACGGUAAUGGGUAAAGAAGCACCGGCUAACUACGUG